CCAAAGUGUCCACGGCUUGAUGCCCCUUGAAUGCAUGCAUCACCAAUCAAAGGAAAACGGAAGAUUAAAUUAGCAGAGGAACAAACUGAAUGACAGUAGUGCUCCCCAUGAGCCACGGCUGGAGUCAUCCCCAGUGUGGUUUUUGGGUAAAAAAAACCCAAAAACCUAAAAGGUAUGAUCUAAAAGCUAUGUUUGUUGAAUUGGCUUGGGUUAAAAGGGACCUAGGUUCAUUUUAGAAUAACAUGUGUUUCCUGUUAACUCACGUUUCUGUGUUAUUCAUUGACUUUAUGUUCUCAGUUACAUCCCUGGGCCACUUUUCCAUAUCGUAUUACACCAAUCACAGCUGACGGCAACCGGGUAAACAUGACCCACCCCCUGACUUAUCGCCUGCUUCUCUGAAGUCACACACUCCUUGAGUUUGAAAACUCAGAGAAUGUUUUGAAUGUCUACUUUGCUAAUUCAAUUACCCAUUGCCUACUCUGAGAACCAAGGCAUCAAAAGACAGUAAGCCCCUAUUCCGGCACAGGCGGCUGAACACAUACUACAAUGGCUGUGGUGAUAUUAAUUUUAGGACUUCAGGGUUUGAAAUAAAGAUAGUACUCAUACAAUAACUGAGAAAUGAUACCAGCUGGUUGAUUAGCCUGACCUAAGGUGUCUAGUUCUAGAAAGACAAAUAAGAUAGCUUCAUAUUAUCCAUCUAGAAAAAUGCAAACCAUGAUUCAUGGUUGCUUACCAGCCUUAAAGAGCCCUUCAAAUUGUAUCUCAUGUUAAAUCAUGUUGCUAUGAUUUACUAUUGAGUAUUUCUUCAUAUUGACCAAAGACUAAAAUAUAAUAAUAUUAAUGAAUCCUAGGACAAAUACUUUCAUGUAUCACCAUUCAUUUCAAGACCCUGUAAUAAUGCAGACUCAGGAUAACCUACAAAGGGUGGAUGCUCACAGGCUCUGUUCAUUUACUCUAAUUUUUCAAUUGCAAUGACACUAUUUAAUAUAAGGCCAGAGAAACAGCGAUAAUGAUCUUAGAUUGCUCCUUAAUAUGAACAUGCCUAACUUCAUGCUACUCGUGUGUGCAUCACCCCAUUUGAAGGUAAUGAGGAGUUUUCAAUGGCAUUCUUGAACCACACUCUGUACGGACAGCCGGGACUGAAGCUUACCCCCACCUUCCAGAGGGUGUGUGUUGAGUGUAACUUGUGCACAGAAACACACACGCUUUCUCCCUCUAGCCAAGCUCAAAUUAACCAAGAGCCUAGGAAUGUAACUCUUGUUCCAGAAUUCAAUCAGCCAUCUCCCUUCUUUUAAGUGUUUGGCUUCUGUUGAGAAAAAGAUUUAAGGCAAACCUAAUCCUGACCCGUUUCAGGAACUUGACUAUGGAUCAUAUAAUCCCCCAAAUCCACCUCUUCCUACAUGAGAGAGGUUUCUAAUCCUUGUUAGAAGGAACCUCUCACCCAGAGAGCUGGCUUGGUACAGUCAACCCUUGAAUUUCCACAAAAAAAAUUGAGGGUGAAGGCGAGGAAAAAAAGAGGCAUGUGUUCAUGAUGGGGAAGAGCAGCAGAGAUAAAAAUGUGCACUGUUCAGUUUUGUUUUGGGUUAUUUGCUGGGCUGUUUAAAGUGCCAGGUCUGGCUCUUAUACAAGUCUCAGCUCCAAUAAGCUGGCUGCAGGGGAGACUUCUUGUUACAAUUAUCCUCUAAGCAUAGCUAAGUCAUAAAAUCCAGGACUUUUCUGAUGUGAAAUGUGCAGGCUUUAAAAAUCAGUGUCACUGUCAACUGCUGCUGCCAGCAAAAUAAGUGAUUCACAUUGUGGCAGAAAACUCCCCCAGAGUGAAAGCUAAUGAGAACACAUACGGAGACUUCUGGAUGUCCAGUCGGAACCCCACACAACGGCAGCAUGGGGGCUGGCAUUUCAAAGGUCAGAAAUCAAACAGGGCUGAAAUCAAGGGGGAGAGAAUUCUCAGAAAAGACAUAGACUUGGCAAGGACUUCAUGGGCAAAGAAAUUCUCAUUGCAAACUCCCGUAAGAUAGCUUUGGUCCCUGCAACUUCUGAAUAAAGGUCUCCGUGAAACUGUCCCUGACCACUCCAUUUAAAAUUACAACCUUUCCCAAUCCCUAUCCUCUUGCUUUUUAAAUUUUUCUCCAGAGCAUUUACCAUCAGGUAAUAAACUAUAUGCUUUACUUAUUACUCUUUCCCCACCAGAAUGUAAGCUACAUGAUGGCUGGAAAUUACUUUUUGUCUGUUUUCCUCUCUGCACUAGGUGCUUAGCAUAUGCUGGGUGCAAAGUAUUUGUUGAAAGAAUGAACAUGUGUAUAAAAAUAGCCCCACAACAGCCCCUUGUGGUGAGGACUGUCAUCACCAUUUUACAGAUAAGAAAAUGGGAGAGCAGAGAUUUAAGUCUCAUGCUUUAGACCAGGGCUUCUUAAAUAUGAACAGACAAAGGAAUCCCUGGGGAUCUUGCUGAAGUGAAGGCUCUGACUCAGCAGGCCUGGGUGGGGCCUUAGUUCUGCAUGACCAUGCCUCAACUUCCAGGUAGUGCUAGAGCUGCUGGACAGCUACGCACCCAGACAAAAGGAUGGCGCAAGACCCUGCAAGUGGCUAAAGGAAAUCAAAAUGUUUUAUCCCAAAAUAGAUUUCUUUGACAUCAUUUGAAAUGGCUGCUGCUGGGCCAGCAGACAGAAGUGGCCUUGCAAAACUGUCUCUUGUGGGGAAAUUUUGCAUCUGUAGAGAAUCUCCUUGAAUGCAGCCAGCCCUUCUCUUUCCAGGCCUUUCCCAGAUCUAGGACAGAUUGAGUCUGACACCUUUACAAGUCUGAAAAGAAAUUCACCAUCUAUUCUCUCUAGGAGUUAUGACCUGGAAGGCUUCAUCUACAUAACAAUGCCACCUUUGCUAGCC
rnacentral:lncRNA from 1 species